rnacentral:rRNA from 1 species
AGAGUUUGAUUAUGGCUCAGGAUGAACGCUGGCGGCGUGCCUAACACAUGCAAGUCGAACGUGAGGAUCUUUUUGUCUUGUUACUUGUAACGGGACGGGGGUCUGAAAGUGGCGGACGGGUGAGUAAUACGUAGGUGGCCUGCCUCGCAGUGGGGGAUAACCACUGGAAACGGUGGCUAAUACCGCAUGGGUCUAUUCGGGUGGGAACCUGGAUAGAUAAAGCUUGAUGUGCUGCGAGAGGGGCCUGCGUCCGAUUAGCUGGUUGGUGGGGUAACGGCCCACCAAGGCUGUGAUCGGUAGCUGGUCUGAGAGGAUGAUCAGCCACACGGGAACUGAGAAACGGUCCCGACUCCUACGGGGGGCAGCAGUGAGGAAUAUUGGGCAAUGGGGGCAACCCUGACCCAGCAACGCCGCGUGCGGGAUGACGGCCUUAGGGUUGUAAACCGCUUUCAGGAGGGACGAAACUGACGGUACCUCCAGAAGAAGCUCCGGCCAACUACGUGCCAGCAUGCCGCGGUAAUACGUAGGGAGCGAACGUUGUCCGGAUUUAUUGGGCGUAAAGGGCUCGUAGGCGGUUCAGCAAGUCGGUCGUGAAAACCCAGGGCUCAACCCCGGGAUGCCGGUCGAAACUGUUGUGACUAGAGUUCGGUAGAGGUGAGUGGAAUUCUCAGUGUAGCGGUGGAAUGCGCAGAUAUUGAGAGGAACACCAUUAGCGAAGGCGGCUCACUGGGCCGAUACUGACGCUGAGGAGCGAAAUCGGGGGAGCAAACAGGAUUAGAUACCCUGGUAGUCCACGCCAUAAACGAUGAACACUAGGUGUAGCGGAUUUAUUCACGUCUUCUU